CUCUAUCUCUCUGUUCUCUCUAUUCUCUGCGUCAUCGUCAUCAACGUUCAUCUCCUUCUCUCUCUUCUGCGACUGCUCUUUCUCUCUCUAAAACCUCUCCUCCUCAAAGAUAUAACGGCAUCUUCCCUCCUCUUCCCUUUCUCUCUCUAUCUCUAGACCUUCUAUCUCGGAGCAACCGAAAAUCCGCGCCUGUUCCUCCUCGAAGAUCUCCAUCGCACGACCGCUUCCUCACACGCGCACUCCGAAGCGGCCCCGCUCCUGCCUCGUGGUCUCCGUCGGAAUCCCCGGGGCGCUGCCCGCGUGCGUGCCGUUCGUCGGCGGAGAUGGUGGUGAAGAUGAUGCGGCGGUGGCGGCCGUGGCCGCCGCUGGCGGCGAGGAAGUACGAGGUCCGGCUGGUGGUGGAGCGGCUCGAGGGGUGCGAUCCGGUGGCGCCGGCGGCGGAGGGCGGGGGAUGGCGGUGGAGGUCCGGUGGAAGGGCCCGAAGCUGGCCCUGAUGGUGAUGCGCCGCAAUGCCGUGAAGCGGAACUUCACGAGGGAGGAGCGCGUGGGCGAGGGCGGCGCGGUGUGCUGGAACGAGGAGUUCGAGAGCGUGUGCACGCUCUCGGAGUACAAGGAGAACGCGUUUCAUCCCUGGGAGAUCGCCUUCACCGUCUUCAACGGCUUGAACCAAGGAUUGAAGAACAAAGUUCCGAUUGUUGGAGUGGCAUCGCUAAAUCUCUCAGAAUUCGCUUCAGCUGCGGAACAAAAGGAAUUUGAACUGAGUAUUCCUCUCACACUCCCUGGUGUUUCCACGGAUUCUCCGCCGCUGCUGUCUAUAUCUCUCAACUUAGUGGAGCUGAGAACCUCUCGGGAAGCUGCAAACCCGAUCGAGAGAUCGAUAGUGCCUAGUCAAUCCCCACAGCAGUGUGGGGAAGCUGUUUCAGCAGAAAAAGAUGAACUUUCUGCCCUCAAAGCGGGUCUUAAGAAGGUGAAGUUACUCACUGAUUACAUGUCUGCCAGGAGAGCCAAAAAGGCUUGUCUUGAUGAAGAGGGCAGCGAUGGAAAGUGUUCUGCCAAGAGUGAGGAUGGAGAGUACACUUAUCCACUGGAUUCUGACUCUCCAGAUGUUUCUGAGGAAGAGGAAUCGGAUGAAGGAAAGGAAAACUCCAACGUUAGAAAGUCAUUUAGCUAUGGAACACUGGCCUAUGCAAAUUGUGCGGGAGGCUCAUUUUACUCCAAUGCUAGAAUUUCUGGCGAAAUUGAAGAUUGGAUCUACUAUAGUCAUCGAAAAUCUGAUGUGGGUUGCUCAAGUAAUGAGGAUCCAUUUGCUUCAGUCUCUGAACAAUCACAGCCACAAGGUUCAAAGCGACGCAUACUGUCCUGGCGGAAGAGGAAGCUGAGCUUCAGGUCUCCCAAAGCAAAGGGGGAGCCCUUAUUGAAGAAGGCAUAUGCAGAGGAAGGUGGGGAUGACAUUGAUUACUAUCGUCGCCAGCUUAGCUCAGAUGAAUCUCUCUCUUUGGGGUGGAGUAAGACUGAGGAAGAUUCUUCUGCAAAUCGAUCAUCGGUGUCUGAAUUUGGAGACGAUAAUUUUGCCGUUGGCAGUUGGGAGAGAAAGGAGGUUACAAGCCGUGAUGGACUCAUGAAGCUUCAAACACAAGUCUUCUUUGCUUCCAUUGACCAGCGAAGCGAGCGUGCUGCCGGCGAAAGUGCAUGCACUGCCCUUGUUGCUGUAAUUGCUGAUUGGUUCCAAGCAAAUCGUGAUCUAAUGCCAAUCAAGUCCCAGUUUGACAGUCUCAUCAGAGAUGGAUCAUUAGAGUGGAGGAAUCUGUGUGAUAAUGAAGCAUACAGAGAACGAUUUCCUGACAAGCACUUUGACCUUGAGACAGUUCUCCAAGCCAAGAUCCGUCCUCUUUCCGUUGUUCCUGAAAAGUCAUUUAUUGGGUUUUUCCAUCCAGAGGGUAUGGAUGAAGGAAGAUUUGACUUUCUACAUGGUGCUAUGUCCUUCGAUAACAUUUGGGAUGAGGUCAGUCGUGCUGGAUCAGAUGGUCCUAGUAAUGGUGAACCCCAUCUUUAUAUCGUCAGCUGGAACGACCACUUCUUCAUCCUCAAGGUCGAACCAGAAGCUUACUAUAUAAUCGACACGCUUGGCGAGAGGCUGUAUGAGGGUUGCAGUCAGGCCUACAUCUUGAAAUUUGAUCGGGUACAAGUAUUCACAAGCUGCUAAACACAGUUCAACCACCUGAGGACAAAACCGCCACUGAUCAGAACAAUCAGCAAACUGACCAGGUCAAUCCCAAGGAAGAGGGUCCUGUGGCGGAAGGGGCAGUGGUUCCCGAGCCUGAAGAGCAGACCAAGACUAAUGAGGCAGAGGAGAUUGUCUGUCAGGGUAAGGAGUCAUGUAAAGAGUAUAUCAAGAGCUUCUUGGCUGCGAUUCCUCUGAGGGAGUUGCAAGCAGAUAUAAAGAAAGGCCUGGCAUCGACGCCUCUUCACCAACGGUUACAGAUUGAAUUCCAUUACACACGGUUUUUGCAACCAAUGACCAUGACUACCUCGUCUGCCGAGGUUGCGGCAGCUGUGCCGCAAGCUAUCGAAGGUGCAACUGCAGAAGCAGCCUGCCCUGGUGUUUCCUGUGAAUAGUCGAAGGGAUAAUUACUGACAUGUUUGAAGUUGUUGAGGGUGUUGCACGAUUAACCACGUGGAUCUAAUUUGAGCUCGUGCUUGGUAUAUAGAGGAUGUCUGUUUUAACUCUUCCCCAGAAAUGAAAAGUUUAAAAUUUCCAAUGUCUGAAACCAUCUGCUUGCAUUUUUUUGUGGGUUUUCUAUUUCGUUCUAGACAGAUCAAUGUCUUUGGAUUAUCUCAUUCGUCGCAAUCCGCUUUUCAAAAUCUGAAUUAUUUGGGAGCAGCUCUCUUGUUUAGGCAUCUUCCCAAAUGCCCUUUUAGCUUAAAGACAUUGGGAAUUCCCAAAAUGUCCCGUCAUUGUACACAUUCCUUUUAUUAUUUUUUGUCAAUUUGAUGUGCUCCUCACAAUGAGGUGACGUUCACCAGAA